UCUAGAAGAGAAGGGGAAGAAAUUGUCUUC
rnacentral:piRNA from 1 species